rnacentral:rRNA from 1 species
AAGACAUGAAGUUAGGUCAGCAAACCCGCUGAAUUUAAGCAUAUAAAUAAGCGGAGGAAAAGAAACUAAAUAGGAUUCCCUCAGUAAUGGCGAAUGAACAGGGAUGAGCUCAGUAUGGAAAUUGGGGCCUGUGGCCUUGAAUUGUAAUCUGGAGAUGUACCACCAAUUGGGGCGCAGAUGUAAGCCUCUUGGAAAAGAGCAUCAAUGAGGGUGAGAGUCCCACUUGGCAUUUGCAGUCCCCAGUGCACGGUGUACCUUCUAAGAGUCACGUUCCUCGGGAUUGGAGCGCAAAUUGGGUGGUAAGUUUCAUCUAAAGCUAAAUAUAGUUUUGAGACCGAUAGCAAACAAGUACCAUGAGGGAAAGGUGAAAAGGACUUUGAAAAGAGAGUUAAAAGUGCCUGAAAUUGCUGAAAGGGAAGCGAACGGAACCAGCGUAACUUGGCGAGAUUGCUGCGUAUCAAUGUGUUGCUUGCUGCUUCAACGAAAGUGUGGUAGCAAGUCUUCAACAGGACAUGCGCGGUGCUUCUUGCAUUGUGUGUCACCGUCAUUUUGCAGUUGGGGAAAACUUCAGGGACAUGGUAACCUGUCUUCGGGUGGGCGAACGUGUCUGCUGGAACUCAUCUGCAGAUUGCUUGGCGACUAAAUGGUUCCAUCUGACCCGUCUUGAAACAC